CACGACUACAUUAGAUACCCGGGUAGUCCCAGCCCUAAACGAUGCGCGUUAGGUGUAUCGGUGACCACGAGUCACCGAGGUGCCGAAGGGAAACCGUGAAACGUGCCGCCUGGGAAGUACGGUCGCAAGGCUGAAACUUAAAGGAAUUGGCGGGGGAGCACUACAACGGGUGGAGCUUGCGGUUUAAUUGGAUUCAACGCCGGAAAUCUUACCGGGACCGACAGCAACAUGAAGGCCAAGCUGAAGACUUUGCCGGAUUAGCUG
rnacentral:rRNA from 1 species